AUUCAUUCUAUGUGGCAUCAUGUUGGCUGUUUUCCUCUGCAGUACUAAGAUGAGGGGUUUCAUGACUGGUCACUGCAUUUUCUCUCCAGAAAAAUUAUGACGAAGAAACGGAAUCAAGGUCCAGACUGCAGUGAGAUUCCUCCUGAGUCAGAGGAGUUGGAGCUCCAUCAACCACAGGGUCACACUGCUCAUUGGAAAAAUAACAAGCGGAGGAGUCAGUAUAU
rnacentral:lncRNA from 1 species